UUGGCAGAUUUGAUAGAGGCCUAUUCUUACAAAAGGUAGCACUUGACAUUGUGGAACGAGUAUCAUAUGAUGUUGUUCUAGAAUCAUGGGGUAGAGUGUUUAAUGGUGAAAAUUAAAUUAGUUCGAAUUGUAUUUGUAUCUGUAAUAUCCGAGAUUUUAUAAAAAAGAAAAUUCGGAUUUUGAAUCUUUAAAUUCAAAUUAU
rnacentral:lncRNA from 1 species